CCGUAUCUGGGUUAGCUCCCGACUUAAUAAAAGCGGGUCCUUUGAUUCCUUUCCGACUCCAACUCCUUUCUAGGGUUCGCGGAAGAAAUCAGGGGAGACGAGCCGGACAAAGAAGCAAGAUCUCGAGAAGUGAAAAAAAAUCAAGUUCCUUAAUGGCUGGACAGAGAAACAACUAUGGUAAACGAUCCCACUCUCAGUCAGACUAUGCUGACAAUGGAGCAAAUGGAGCAAGCAAGAGAAGAAAUCCUGGUGAAGAAAGAGAUCCCUAUGUUCCUGGGCCAGAAGAUACUGUUUAUCGUUACUUGUGUCCUGGAAGAAAAAUCGGAAGCAUCAUCGGGAGGGGUGGUGAGAUUGUGAAGCAACUGAGGUCUGAUACACAAGCUAAGAUCAGGAUUGGUGAGACUGUACCUGGAUGUGAUGAGCGAGUUAUAACCAUAUUUAGCACAAGCAGAGAAACGAAUUCCUUUGAAGAUACUGGGGAUAAUGUUUGCCCUGCGCAAGAUGCCCUCUUUAGAGUGAACGAGAGGCUCGUCACAGAUGAGGCACCUGGUGAUGAAGAUGCAGAUGCAGGUGCCCCUCAAGUUACUGUCCGUCUGCUUGUGCCAUCUGACCAGAUUGGCUGUAUUAUUGGGAAAGGGGGACAAAUUAUACAGGGCAUACGUAGUGACACUGGUGCUCAAAUUCGCAUUUUGAAAAAUGAACAUCUUCCUGCUUGUGCCAUCAGUAGUGAUGAGCUUCUGCAGAUUACUGGGGAAGUUGUAGUUGUUAAAAAAGCUCUUCUUCAAGUUUCAUCCCGCCUCCAUGAUAAUCCAUCUCGUUCGCAACACCUGCUUGCUUCCAGCAUGUCCCAGAUGUACCCACUAGGUGGUCAGUUUGGGGUUCCAAGUGCCAGUGCUCCAGUUAUGGGUAUGGGUCCACUAGUGGGUCCUUAUGGAGGUUACAAGGGUGAUGCUGCAGGAGAUUGGCCAUCUUUCUACCCGCCUCCAAGGGAUGAAAGUUCUGCAAAGGAGUUUAGCUUACGUCUAUUGUGUCCUUCUGUCAACAUAGGAGGUGUGAUUGGAAAGGGUGGGGCCAUUAUUAAACAGAUCAGGCAGGAAUCUGGAGCAUAUAUCAAAGUAGAUAGUUCCUCUGCGGAAGAUGACUGCAUAAUAUCUAUUUCAGCAAAAGAGUUCUUUGAAGACCCAAUUUCUCCCACCAUAGAUGCUGCAGUACGCUUACAGCCUAGAUGCAGUGAGAAAACUGAGAGAGAAACUGGUGAACCUUCAUACACUACCCGCUUACUUGUAUCGACAUCACGCAUUGGUUGCCUAAUUGGUAAAGGUGGGACCAUCAUAUCUGAAAUGAGGAGAAACACCAGGGCAAAUAUACGCAUACUUUCAAAGGAAAACCUUCCCAAAGUUGCUGCUGAAGAUGAUGAGAUGGUUCAGAUAAGUGGCGACCUUGAUGUUGCCAGAAAUGCUCUUGUACAAGUAACAACACGGCUGAAGGCCAAUUUCUUUGAAAGGGAGAGUGCGCUGUCUGCAUUUCCAUCCUCUGUUCCCUACCAUCCCUUGCCAGGUGAUGCUUCUGAUGGGUCAAAAUAUGGGAGCAAGGAUAGCAAGGCGUAUGGCCGUGGAUAUUCAUACUCUGGUGGAUAUGGUGCUUCAGGUGAUUUGAUGCCCUCUGACAACUAUGGAGGUUAUGGUGGUUCCCAGGGUGGUGGUAGCAGUUACAGCGCAUAUGGUGGGUACUCUGCUCGUUCUGGAAGCACUGGGCUUUGCAGUGGAGAAGCAUUUAUGCCAUUAGUCCAUGCUAAACAACUGUAUCGAAGGUAGGCGAUUCGAAUGAGCUUAAUUCAUGGGGAAACCAUUGCUUGAAGCUGGUUUGUGAGCUAUGUCAUUUUACUGGAUUUACUGACAUGUGAGAUUGUUUUGCAGGUUCUGGGAACUUUGGGUUUUUACUUAGAAGGCUGGCAAGAAUUCCGCUCAAUGGUCCAUAUUCACUUCUAAGAAAUCUUCCCAGCUAACUUGGUCAUAGGAUAGUCUAAACUUUGGACCCCAAACAUGUGACUUUGCUAGCCCGGAGAAGCCUUACGUGCGUCUCUUUGGUGUGUGCUCAUAGUACAUGAAAUAUCAGCUACCUUUAAGAGGGUUCCGAUGUUAUACAAAUGUGAACUGACAUAAUUACCGAUUUUUCUUUUAGUUCUGUGCUCCUACAUUCCUAACUAGAGUCAUCAUACUCAAGACUCGCAACUAGAGUCGCACAUUUUUCAGGAACCUGAAACUUGAACUGAACUGCCCUUUGGGCUUGAUUUGGUUCAAAUUUAAGCAUAUAUUGGUUCAUUCCCUGUUUUCAUUUUUAAAAACCUGAUUUGGUUGAUUCUUGUUCCAGGUCAAGGUGUCAGAUCCAUAUGCAUGUAUAUUAUGUAGUAUCAUAUAUGUAAAGUAUAUAAUAUGAUAUAUAUCUGCAUAGUAUUUAUUAUUUUAUGUAUUAAUGGUUCACAUCUAUUUUUGUAUUGUUGAUUAGACAUGCUUUGUUCAAGAUUUAUAGUUUAUUCUUUUGGGUUCUCUUAUUGUCUGAUUUUCCUGCAUAGAUUAUUUGUUAAUUUAUUGUUGUCUCUGGUACUUAAGUUUGAACAGAAACAACAGAACCUUUUACUUCUGUUAUAAAAAAUAUUAAUUUCUAGGUAAUCCAAGAACUGAUUUGAAUCAACCCAAUCUUGAUUGGCUUCCUGUCUGGUUCCAGCAUCAAUUAUUUUAUUUGUGUUCAAAAGUUGACAACUGGUUAGGAUUGGUUCAGUUUUGCGUUGACACUUAAUCCAGCCAUUUGCACUCCUACUUCAACUCAGUGUAAGAUGAUUUGCUUAGAAAUAGGUAUUUUUUGUUGACAUUUUUCAUUAAUAAUAUUGUCUUGAUUGAUCUAUAAUUUGUAAGAAUUAGUUAUAGGUUGAGAAAAUCAAGAAUAGAUUGAAAUUUAAUUAGUAUAUUAGUGAUUGUUUUUCAUGAAUUGAUCAUUCAUAAUAUUGAGUACUUGCAGAAUAUGAUGGACAUCAGGAUAGAUAUUUAAUUUUCUGCUUUUGAAUUGCUAUUUUGCUCCUCUAAACUCUUUUCCAUCCCGAACUUCUGACACUUUUAUAUAAACAUGCUAGAAAUCAAAUGAAUCUAGUGUUCUAUGGUUUUAAGCUGACUGCAACGUUGUUUUUGUAAAAGGUGGUCCUAUGAUCAGUUCAUAAUGACCUUAACAUGGAAUUCAACAUUUUAUCCGGGUUCCAUUCAUGCUUUCUGCAAAUCUCUCUCUUUAUUUUGUUCCCACUGAUGUUGAAAUUGCUUAUGUUGAUAAAUGAUUCUAAUUUUGCUAAUUGUUUGAUUCUUUAUGUGAAACUGUAAUGGCCAUGAAAGAAAGUACCUGUGAUGAGUCCUCAAACCAGUUCUCUCAGUCAUGUAUUUAGAGGUACAUAGGCAGAAGCCAAAACUAGAUGUUUAAUGCGAUCCUUUAAUUACUUGAAACUACUAUGAUCUAGCAUACUUAGUGCAUUUUUUGAAAAGAAAUUUUAUAUAUUUACCCUAAAAAGGAAAAUCUAACAAGGUUCAUACCAUGGGAGUACUUCAUUUCAUCAUCCUGAUUAAAUUCUAAAGUACAAUAAUCUUGCUAUGUGACUGAAGAGCAAUAGUUUUGUUCAAUCAUAAUUAUUUUCUAAUGCCUUCUUAGUUAUUUGAAUCUUGCAAAUGCCUUUUAAGUUUAUGA